CAGCGCUGACGCUUAUUGCUAUCGAUUUUUCGCCGCUUGAAAAGUGCGAAAGUGAAACGCGCGCAAACUCGUGCUCGCCGAAAUUUCGCAUUGAACUGUCAGUGCAAAUGUCAGUUUGCAAGUGCAGUUGACGGAGAGCGCACGAGAGCGAGAGUGAAAAGUGUGCAAUUUAAUUGAGAAAGUCACGAGAGCAACGCAUUUGCAAGCGAAUGAACGGCGGCGGCAGCAAGCAACAAAAAUGCACGAAAACCAUGUCAGAAAACAACAAACACGCACAACAAAAACAGCAAGCAAGUGGCAAAAACAACAAAAGUAGCAAAAGCAACAACAAUAACAAAAGUACCAACAACAACAACAAAAGUAA